GAGGAGCUUGCUCUUCUUGGAUGAGUUGCGAACGGGUGAGUAACGCGUAGGUAACCUGCCUUGUAGCGGGGGAUAACUAUUGGAAACGAUAGCUAAUACCGCAUAACAAUGGAUGACACAUGUCAUUUAUUUGAAAGGGGCAAUUGCUCCACUACAAGAUGGACCUGCGUUGUAUUAGCUAGUAGGUGAGGUAAUGGCUCACCUAGGCGACGAUACAUAGCCGACCUGAGAGGGUGAUCGGCCACACUGGGACUGAGACACGGCCCAGACUCCUACGGGAGGCAGCAGUAGGGAAUCUUCGGCAAUGGGGGCAACCCUGACCGAGCAACGCCGCGUGAGUUAAGAAGGUUUUCGGAUCGUAAAGCUCUGUUGUAAGUCAAGAACGGGUGUGAGAGUGGAAAGUUCACACUGUGACGGUAGCUUAC
rnacentral:rRNA from 1 species